UUCUGCUCUGGCUCCCCCCACUGUUCCAAUAAUAAUGGUAUGUCCUGCCGCAAAGCACAUCGGGAGCUAAGCGGCUAGGGGGCGUCCCUUGUCCUCGUGGCACCGGCCGCAAUCUACUGAAGAGGCUGCAAUGGUGGCAAGGGAUGCAGCAGGAAAAGUUCACCAACAGUUUUGGAUGACAAUUUUUACGUAUCAGAAUAUAGACAAACAUGAAGCUGACUUGAAAGAAGCAACUUUCGGUGCUCGAGUCCUGUCCUAGCACCAUAAUGGAGUACUUGGUUUAGAGAUGCUGAGAUGAAUUUGCCAAAGCUGAUGUGAAACCAGAAAACCAAAAACAAAUGAACACAUGACAAAACCAAGUAGCUUUUCCCACACAAACAUAACCAAAUGAAACAUCAACAGUGAUUGUUAAAUUGGCUAUAAAUUCUGCUGUGCUGAAAGCAUCUUUUGAGGUAACUUUACCUAUAGCAAAACCUCACAUUAUACCUGAAGCCUAUUAAUGUAACAACAAACGAUGGUUUGUAUUGUCAAAGGCUUUCAUGGCCAGAAUCAACUGGCUGUUGUGGGUUUUAUGGGUUGAGUGGCCACUGUCUGGUAGUUUUUGCUUGUAACAUUUCACCCUUGUUUAUGACUGGCAUGUUAAAUCAAGGUAUGUUAAAUCAAGAUAUACCUUUGAAGAUGCCAGCCAUAUAUGCGAAUGAAAUGUGCUAGUUACAGGACAAUAUACAUCUGGCUUAAUACACACUGUUGUGGGGAUGUGGGCAGAUGAUAGAAUAUCUUUUCAGAAGACUGCAGGGGGUGACUUACAGGCAUACAUUUAGCUGUAGUUAUUGUGAUAUAAAGAUGCAGAUUUGCUCAAUGGCCAACAAUUAUAGAAAUAUACAUUCUGAUGUUGUAGGUGGUAUUUACACUACAGAUCUUUUGGGUUGUAGUAUAGGAAAUGCAGGGCAAGAUCUGAUAGAAGUAGGAACAGUCAACAAUGUUAAAACUUUUCUGCUACAUUAGAAUUACCAUCUACCCAUAGACAGCCAAAAGCUGGUAAGCAUGAAAUCCAGCAGAGAUCAGUUAGAAAAGUACAAGGUAAUUAGAAAAUGAAUGCAAAAAUAUAAACUAUGAUUUGGAAACUUAUGUUCUGUCCAUUGAAUAAAUAUAAAAGUGCUUAA